UACGGAGGGGGCUAGCGUUGUUCGGAAUUACUGGGCGUAAAGGGCGCGUAGGCGGCCCGUCAAGUCCCGUGUGAAAGCCCCCGGCUCAACCGGGGAACUGCACGGGAAACUAGCAGGCUUGAGUUCGGGAGAGGGAAGCGGAAUUCCGGGUGUAGCGGUGAAAUGCGUAGAUAUCCGGAGGAACACCGGUGGCGAAGGCG
rnacentral:rRNA from 1 species